UAUCCCAUCCGUUUUCUUUCUUGAGACUUGAGUCUCCAGUCUCAGUCUCACCUUUGACCUUCCAUUUUCCUUUAAAUUCUUAUUAAUUGUCAGUUAAAACUUAUAAAGUAGCCUUUCUAGUUUCUAAUUCAGACUCUCACUCUCCAGUCUCCAUCUCCAUGAGUCGACCCUAAUUUUUCUGCAUCACCCCCUUUCAACGAUCUGCACCAGCACCACCCUUAUCCACCAUCAACAAACGACGCAGACCAUUGCAGCACAAUACCAUCUCAAUUAUUUUUUUGCAGCUACACAAGAUUCACAAAUGUCUUCUCCACUUGAGAGCAAUCCUAUUGUUGCUGAGGUGAAUGAGCAUGUCCAACCAGAUGCAAUUCAGCUGCAAGAUAACACACAAGAUGGUGAACAAGUCCAAGAUCAGGUCGGUGAAGAAUUGGUAACCAAGAAAAAGAGGAAGAAAACAUCUGCGGUUUGGGCAGAUUUUGAUGAAAUUGAAAUUACCGGAGGUGCAAAGAAAGCAGUUUGCAGAUAUUGCAAAGAAAAAAUUGCUACAGGUGGAAAAGGGGACAGUACUAGCCAUCUGAAAAGGCAUUCAGAAAUUUUCUUACAAAGGAGGGCGCAUAAGGCUACUGAAAAGAAGUAGAGUGUCAUACCAUUUCAACCUUGUAACUCAGGUGCUGUGCUCACAUUUUAAAUUUGUUGGUGCAAGAUGGCUUAAGCAAAAUCAAAAGUGUCAUUGUCAAUAUUCGUGAAGGGACAUGAAUCUAGUGAAGAAAUGAAGAUUUGGUGAAAAGAUAAAGAGUUUUGGAAGGUUUGGGAAAAAUCAGCUGAGCCCUUUAGAAACCAGCUGAGCCCAUUUUAUCCUGUCAGAAAAGAGCUGAGCGUCCAAGAAAGGGGCUGAGCGUCUUCAAGGCGGUUAAAGAAAACCCAUCCCUAAAGUAACAGGGCGCUAAGCGGCCAUAAAAGGGGCUGAGCGGUCGUGCCAGAUUUUCCAUUUAAAAGGAAAAUUUAAUCGGAACAGAGGAAAAACAACAGAAGGAACUUUUGAGGAAAGAAACACGAAAUAGCAGAGAAAGAAUAGGAACUUGGAGGCUUGGUGACCUUCCGUCGAGCUGGGAACACGCCGACGCCGCACGGAUGAUCUUCUUCUUCAUUUUCCCUUAUUGUAAGCUUAUAGCAUCCAUGGAAAUGGAUUGCUAAACCUUUUGUGUUGGGAUUGGAUGUAGUCUUUUAACUUGAAUGUAUUUACUUUGAUUUCCAUGUAUAAAUUCAUGUUUCUAUGUGA